rnacentral:lncRNA from 1 species
UUUAACAGGCUCACAUUAAGUUUCAUUUCUGAUUUUCAUUCAUUGGAGUCACUUAGCAUUCUUCAGAUGGGAUCUCCAUAGUACAGAUGAACAUAUAUCAGAAAGAUCCUCUGUGGAGAAUUCUCAAGCAAUUGCAGUAUAACUAGGUGAUGGCUGGACUCAGGCGUACUGAGAAAAAUGAUGAGAUGUGGAAAGACCACCACAAAUGGAACAGAGAAAGCUGCCCAACUAUGAAGUUAAACAGCAGUUUGUAAAGAGGAACUAAUGAUAAUGGAUGGUUGUGAUCAUCCCUGGUAUUAAUUCAAGUGAAAUCAAAACAGUUUCAGCCUGGAUUAAUACGGAUCAUAAAAGCCUUUGCAAAGAGGAGCCCUCUAUGCAAUGCACCGCCUCCUGUGCUCUCUCCCACUCUGUAAGUCCGGACUUCAGGCAUAGCCACCUGACAGAUCAGGCUGUAAGCUCACGUCGAUCAGGCUGAUCAUUUGUGAUCUAUCGCAUCUGGCAUGUGGGGUCUUGGAGUACAAGAGAAAAUGUGCAGAAAAUGCAUGAAAAGUAUGAGAGAGAGCAGGAGGUAGGAGCCAACGGAAUCACAUACACGGUGUGAGACACUACAGAGAACCUGCCUGCCUUUCCUGCCAGUGCUGCAUAUGCACAAAAUGGGUUUGCACUAUGCGUCCUGAUAAGUAUCGCUGCUGUAUUGCAGAGAAGCCUAUGGCUACAUUCAUGGACAAUUAAAGUCAAGAGGGUGAGAUUUCACAUCUUCCUUUCCCUUGUGCCUCAUAUUGCAAAUUUAGAGAUUAUUCACAAAUACUUCAUAUAUUGCCACAGGCACAUAGUAUUCAAGUUUUAAUAAAAAAAUCCACUUGCAUAUUCUCCCUUUAGAU